UCCACCCUCAUGAGUGGGAUUAGCCCUUAUAGAAGAGGCUCCCAGGGCUCCCUAAUCACUUUGGCCACAUGAGGACACAAGGAGAAAUCUGUGUAAGGCCCUCUCCCAACUGGGCUGGCUCACUGAUCUCAGACUCCAUCCUCCACAACUAUGAGCAAGAGCUUUCUUUUGUUUAUUAGCCACCCAGUCCGGGAUAUGUUGUUAUAACUGCAUGAAUGACUAAGACCGAUUAUAAUCGCUCAUAUAAAAUAAAUAUCUUUGAGCCCCUAUUGAUAUAAAUUAAUAACUGAAUAAAUUAAUAAAUUGAGGAGAAGAAAAAAUGUCCUGUGCAGAAAAGUCCCAAAUGGUCUAUGUGGAUAUUUCGCCCUAAGGAAGGGAUCUUAAUUGACCACUCCUGGAGUGUAGGCACUUGUCGUGACUCCCCUCCAAAGAGGACAGAGUGGAAAGGAGGAGAAAAGAGUAACUACAGAGGGGACACCUGACAAAUACAGUGCAGUCAGGUGAUCAUGAGUUCACCAAAAAUCAUAAACCACUGCCACAGUGUGGAUCCUGGAUUGAGGUGAUGAAAGGGGCACUUUUCCUCUGUGACCUUCCUCCCCAACCCCAUCACCUCAGUCUACUUAUGAGAUAAGGAUCCUACAGAUUGAAAUGAGGCACAUUCCAUGAUACAGGUGAGCAGCAGUCCUCAAAACUGUCAGGCCAUCACAAGUCAGGAAUGUCUGAGAAGGUGUCACCGCUGAGAGGAGCCUACAGAGACAUCACAAGUAAAUGUAAUGUGGUAUCCUGCAUGGAAUUCGGGAACAGAAAGGGACAUAGGGUAAAAACUAAGGAAAUCCUUUCAGGACCGAAUUUAUUUCUCCAAAGUUCAAAUGUUGAAAUCUGAAAUCCAGCGAGAUGGGAUUUGGAGGUGCGGUCUUUGCAGAUAAUGAGGUCAUGAGGGUGGAGUCCUCAGGAAUGGGAUCAUUGUCCUCACAAAAAGAGACAAGCCAGCCAGCUCACCCCAUCCACCAUGUGAGAAUACAUGUAGUUGGCAGUCUGCAAUUGUAAAGAGCAUUCUCAUCACAAUCCAAGCAUCCUGGCACCCUGAUCUCAGACUUCCAGCCUCUGGGACCUUGAGAAUUGGUAAUCUUGAAGAAAAAGCGUUGCAGUCCCAUGGUCCUCUCUUCUCAAUCACCUUCCACCGACAUGAUGGAGGCAGGGAGUGUCUUCUCUCCUCAGAACACAGAGUUGUGGGCCUCUCCAAGACAACACUCAGACAACACUCAACACCACAAUGAUGCCCAUCUCUUCUUCCCACCCUGCCCACCACUUUCAUCCCCGCUGUGGACUCUGCUUCUAGGAUUCACAGAUGCUACCUCUCAGUGGAGAAAAAGUGUUGGAUAACAUGAUAUUAUGAAGGAAGAAAAGAAUCCUCAAUGUUUCCAUCCAAACAUAAUCACUGUUAAAAAUUAGCACAGGUUUACAUGCUCAUGGAACAUUGGCUGGAAGUGGUCACUAAAGGUCUCUCUGGGCCAGUGAUGGAAACUGAACCCUGCACGGUCUCCAGAGAACUAAACAGUCCUGCCUCUGCUUGCUGAAAAAGCUAAACAAGCACGUGGAGUCUCUUCCCCAAGGCCACUGGUCCAUGUUGGCAGAGGCUCUGAGUCCCAGUUGCCAAAGCAGAAGGCUUGAGGGAUUCAGAUCAGAUGAAAGAGGAAGCCAAGACCAUUAUCUGAGUAAGGAAGGAGGAAGAAACCUUAGAUGAUUUAGAAAAGAGUAAAAACUUUUGAGACACCCAGACCCAUGGGAGCAUGUCAGCAAACAUUUACAGAAGAAUUCAUACCAAUUUUGUACAGUAUCUCCCAGAAAAUAGAGGAGGAAACACUUCCCUACUCAUUUGAUGAGGGCAUUAUUACCUUGAUAACAAAACCAGAUAGACUGUAUAUUAAAAAGAUACCUAGAAACCAAUACCUCUCAUGACUCUAAAUGUAAGAAUCCUCAUAAAAUUUUGUCAAAUAGACUUUCACAAUGUGUAGUUAUAUAACAUGACUAAGAAGUAUUUAUUGUGGGUAUGCAAAACUGUUUCACUGCUUAGCAAUCAAUUAUUGUAAUCUAUCACAUCAACAGGUUAAAAAAGAAAAAUUGCGUUAUCAUAUCAGUUGAUGCAGAAAAAGCAAGUGAGAAAUCUAAAACCUGUUCAUGAUGCAAACACUCAACAAACUAGACAUAGCAGAGAAUUUCCUCAAUUUGAUGAAGAACAUCUACAAAAAAAUCCCUGCAGCUAUCAUUAUACUUCACGGCAAAAGACCAAGUUUUUUAUUUUUCCUAAGAUAAGGACUGAGGCAAAGAUGUCCCUUCUCAGAACUCUUAUUCAACAUAGGACUAGAAAUUGUAGGCGAGAGAAGGACAGGAAGAAAGGAAGGAAAGUGAAGGAAUGGAAAGGAAAGGAAUGUACAU